rnacentral:rRNA from 1 species
GGCCCUGCUUUUGUGGGGUGCUCGAGUGGCGAACGGGUGAGUAACACGUGAGUAACCUGCCCUUGACUUUGGGAUAACUUCAGGAAACUGGGGCUAAUACCGGAUAGGAGCUCCUGCUGCAUGGUGGGGGUUGGAAAGUUUCGGCGGUUGGGGAUGGACUCGCGGCUUAUCAGCUUGUUGGUGGGGUAGUGGCUUACCAAGGCUUUGACGGGUAGCCGGCCUGAGAGGGUGACCGGCCACAUUGGGACUGAGAUACGGCCCAGACUCCUACGGGAGGCAGCAGUGGGGAAUAUUGCACAAUGGGCGGAAGCCUGAUGCAGCAACGCCGCGUGCGGGAUGACGGCCUUCGGGUUGUAAACCGCUUUCGCCUGUGACGAAGCGUGAGUGACGGUAAUGGGUAAAGAAGCACCGGCUAACUACGUGCCAGCAGCCGCGGUGAUACGUAGGGUGCGAGCGUUGUCCGGAUUUAUUGGGCGUAAAGGGCUCGUAGGUGGUUGAUCGCGUCGGAAGUGUAAUCUUGGGGCUUAACCCUGAGCGUGCUUUCGAUACGGGUUGACUUGAGGAAGGUAGGGGAGAAUGGAAUUCCUGGUGGAGCGGUGGAAUGCGCAGAUAUCAGGAGGAACACCAGUGGCGAAGGCGGUUCUCUGGGCCUUUCCUGACGCUGAGGAGCGAAAGCGUGGGGAGCGAACAGGCUUAGAUACCCUGGUAGUCCACGCUGUAAACGGUGGGUACUAGGUGUGGGGUCCAUUCCACGGGU